rnacentral:misc_RNA from 1 species
AAAUAUUAAAAAGUCCAUAAC